GGGAGACAAACUGUAAACAUCCUGUUUUUUUGGCAGUGAAAAGUGCAAAACUUAUUUGCACCCACUGUAUCUCUUUUCGAAGCAGGCGAACGUAUCCUGAAGCAUAAAUUUUUAGAAAGACCAGCUUUUCCAUGCAUUGUAAGAUUUCCAGAAUAUAGAUCAUGUAGUUCCUGAUAAAAAAUAACACCAAAAGAUUGCUACGAUAAAACUGUUGAGUAACUAUUUGUAAUACAGAAUGCAUCAAGAUGGUGGUAUGCUACAUAUAUAAUAUUGAUACUAUGACAGAUGAGAAAAGAAACUGAAGACAUAACCAAAUGCUGAAGUCAGCAAAGAUUAAGAUAUAAGGAGUAGAUAUUUUCCUGAAGAUCUUAUUUAUGUCUCGAAUGUGAAGGGAACAGAAGCUAUCAUGAUGAUUCUUUAAAAAAAAGAUACAGAAACACAAGCUCCUGUAGACACUUAUGAAAAAGAAGAUGUUUUUGCAAUGAAUAUGUGUGAAUGUGAUAAAUUAUGGCAAAUCAACAUGGUCAAUUAACAACAAUAUGUUCUACAAAUUUCCUAGAUUUAUAAGUUUCAUAACAUUUAGUUGAGGCAAACUAAAGUUAGAUAACGGAAAACGAAAAAAUUGCAAAUAAAUAUUGUUAUUAAA